GCAAGUCGAGCGGCAGCACAGAGAAACUUGUUUCUCGGGUGGCGAGCGGCCUUUGGGUGAGUAAUGCCUGGGAAAUUGCCCUGAUGUGGGGGAUUUCCAUUGGAAACGAUGGCUAAUACCGCAUGAUGCCUACGGGCCAAAGAGGGGGACCUUCGGGCCUCUCGCGUCAGGAUAUGCCCAGGUGGGAUUAGCUAGUUGGUGAGGGGGGGGGUCACCAAGGCGACGAUCCCUAGCUGGUCUGAGAGGAUGAUCAGCCACACUGGAACUGAGACACGGUCCAGACUCCUACGGGAGGCAGCAGUGGGGAAUAUUGCACAAUGGGCGCAAGCCUGAUGCAGCCAUGCCGCGUGUGUGAAGAAGGCCUUCGGGUUGUAAAGCACUUUCAGUAGGGAGGAAGGUGGUAGUGUUAAUAGCGCUAUCAUUUGACGUUACCUACAGAAGAAGCACCGGCUAACUCCGUGCCAGCAGCCGCGGUAAUACGGAGGGUGCGAGCGUUAAUCGGAAUUACUGGGCGUAAAGCGCAUGCAGGUGGUUUGUUAAGUCAGAUGUGAAAGCCCCGGGCUCAACCUGGGAAUUGCAUUUGAAACUGGCAAACUAGAGUACUGUAGAGGGGGGUAGAAUUUCAGGUGUAGCGGUGAAAUGCGUAGAGAUCUGAAGGAAUACCGGGUGGGCGAAGGCGGCCCCCUGGAC
rnacentral:rRNA from 1 species